rnacentral:rRNA from 1 species
GCUGUGGGAUUAACUUAUGUUAAUCGGUAGGGGAGCGUUCCGUCGUAGGUAGAAGCAGUAGCGGCAAGCAGCUGUGGACGAAACGGAAGUGAGAAUGUCGGCUUGAGUAGCGCAAACAUUGGUGAGUAUCCAAUGCCCCGAAACCCUAAGGUUUCCUCCGCCAGGUUCGUCCCCGGAGGGUUAGUCAGGAACUAAGGCGAGGCCGAACGGCGUAGUCGAUGGACAACGGGUUAAAAUUCCCGUACUGAUUGUAGGUUGUGCAGAGGGACGGAGAAGAUGAAUGUCAGCCGGAUGUUGGUUACCGGUUCAAGCGUCAAGAUGUUGAGAGACGGCGAAAACGUUUCGAGUUGAGGCGUGAGUACGACCCGCUACGGCGGGGAAGUGGCAUAGUCUAGCUUCCAAGAAAAGCUCUAAACACGUUAACUUACAGUU